UGCCUUGGAGUUUGUUUGUUGGAGAUUUCAGCACUUGGAACUCACCUUUUCUAUUCUUUUACAAAUUCUUUAGAGAUUCAAUGCGCCUUAGAGCGCAGCCUUGCGCGUCCGAGUAACCAAAGCGGUUCACUUCUUUACGUCGACAUCUACAGUGAGAGAUCGCCAAUUAGCAAGAAGGUGACACCCUGCUGGCCAGGAGAUAUCCGAAGUGGAGCAGCCGGCUGCGUGGAGACAUCACAGACUGUUGUCCAUGUUGCUCGCAUUUGGCACCUGUGGCCUGACAAGAGCGUGCGGCAGUGGAUUCUGUUCACCUCUCUGCUCCAGUAGCCAGAGCGGAAGGCAAUGGAAAGAUUACAAUGGUGCACGUCACAUCUUCGAUGCGCUCACCUUGCUGGUUUGAAUCGUGUAGUGGACUCCCUGCUGCCUCCCCCGCUUGACCUGGUGGCGACGCACGGAAGGUCAGCAUCAUCUUUGCCCGAAAGAUCGGCGCACGACAGGAACACGUCGAUCUCGUGCCGUUUGUUCCCAGUGCCAUUGAAAGAGAAAGACAACGCACACAUAUGUGCGAAGCACGGUGAAAGAGCCGGACCCCGUGCUGCCUCCUCCGCUUUGACCUUUGAUGACGCACGAAAGGCCAACAUCGUCUUUGCCCGCCAGAUGUGUGCACGGCACGACCAGGUCGAUUUCGGGCCGUUCGUCCGGAACCAGUGAAAGAAGACAACAAGCGCGCAUGUGAGACGCACGAUGAAUUGGCUGACGAGCCUCAUCGCGAUAUCUGUGCUGAACCGUGCUCCGUCAAAGGCUGCAGAAGACACUGCCAACCGUUCCUUUCUUCAUAAAGAACCAUUUCGCUCUUUUUCUGUCUCUCUGUAACGUAACUGUAUUCUCCUUAUUUUCUUUCUUUCUCUAUUGUGCGACAUGUUUUGGUAUCUCCUUGUAAUUAACUGCUAUUUCUGUAUUCGCUGUCUCAUUGGAUUGACAAUUUUCCAAAAUGUAUUUUUGUACCCGUUCUAGCCUUUGGCUAUGAGACCACACAUGUGUUGUGUACCUUAUCAA